CCAAAAACGGAUAUUUAUAUCCUUCUUAGAUAUUUUUCUACUUUAUUUGAUAGUGAUUAUUACUAAAGAUCAGGUUAAUUAUGGGAUGUAAAAAUUUUACCAGUUAAUAACAUUAUAUAAUUACAUAAAUGUAAAUAUAGCCUAUUCUAAAUACUAUGGUUAAUAUUGUGCCAGCAACCGCGGUCAUACUCUAGUAGUAAGUAAUAUAAAUAUAAUAUUUCUAAUAGUGAAUGAUAUAAACUAGAGACUCUAUGGUAAAAUAUAAUUCUAUAGUUAAAGUAAACUGUCAUCAAAUAUUACAAAAUUAUGAAGAAAAACUAGGAUUAGAUACCCUACUAUUCAUAAUACUUUUUAGAUCUUUGAGGAGUAUUUUAUAUAAACUCAAAAAUAAUGGCGGCUUAUAAAACUCAUUAGGGGAGCUUACCUAGUAAAUGAUAACCACCAAGAAUAAUGUACUUAGCUUAACAGUUUGUAUGCCGUCGUCUUAAAUAUUCUCUUAGAGUAUUUUAUUUAUUAUUUAUAAUUAAUAGACAGAUCCAGGUGCAGCCCAUAGUUAAGUUGGGGCGAGCUACAAUAAUAAUUUAUUUACGAAUUAUCUGUUAUAUAAUAUUUAUAAAGUUGGACUUAAAAGUAAUAUUAAAUAAAUUAGAUUUAAAAUAUGAAUUUACUUUUUAUAAGUGU
rnacentral:rRNA from 2 species